UACAGAGGGUGCGAGCGUUAAUCGGAAUUACUGGGCGUAAAGCGCGCGUAGGCGGCUCUUCAAGUCAGACGUGAAAGCCCCGGGCUUAACUCGGGAACUGCGUUUGAUACUGUCGAGCUAGAGUGUGGAAGGGGCGAUUGGAAUUCCGUGUGUAGCGGUGAAAUGCGUAGAUAUCUGGAGGAACACCGGUGGCGAAGGCGGCAUCCUGGACCAACACUGACGCUGAGUGAGCGAAAGCCAGGGGAGCAAACGGG
rnacentral:rRNA from 1 species